UUGGGGCACUAAGUAAAAAACAACUUGUUUGCAAAAUAAAGUCGGAUCAUCUUUUAGCACAUUAGUUUGUUUUGUUUUCAGUAUUUCCCAGCAUCAUUUAGAAUUGUCUUUUGUUUGAUUUUAUUUACCCAGCAACCUAUAAGCAAGCAAGAAAUAUUGUGUUUGUAAUUCAAGAGAUGAUUCAAAUGAAGACAGGAUAAUCUUGGAGUAUUCACUCUAAACCUGAAUUUUCAAAUGCUUAUAAUCUCCUCAAACAUUACUUUGGUUGCAAUGUAUUUCAGAUUUAUGUUUCCAAAGGGCUCAGUUAUCUGACGAGAACAGGAGCAUAUUAAAUCUCUGCAUAAUACAUUUCUGAAAUGGCUUGUAUCUAAGACACCAAGCAGUUAUUAAAUCUUGCUUUUAACCCACCAGUCCUCUAAAUCUUCUCUCCACAGCUUGAUUCCCAGUAGAGAAAAAAGUAACUCAAACAAAAAUCUUCCUGUUUACUGUAAUAAGCUAUUUACUUAUCUGUGCACAAGGUUGAGAAAUUAUGGAAU
rnacentral:lncRNA from 1 species